UGCCAGCAGCCGCGGUAAUACGGAGGGUCUAAGCGUUAUCCGGAUUUACUGGGUGUAAAGGGUGCGUAGGCGGUAUGGUAAGUCAGAUGUGAAAACUCAGAGCUCAACUUUGAGACUGCAUCUGAAACUACUAAACUAGAGUGCAGGAGAGGAAAGUGGAAUUCCGAGUGUAGCGGUGAAAUGCGUAGAGAUUCGGAGGAACACCAGUAGCGAAGGCGACUUUCUGGACUGUAACUGACGCUGAGGCACGAAAGCGUGGGGAGCGAACAGGAUUAGAUA
rnacentral:rRNA from 1 species